rnacentral:rRNA from 1 species
GGCCAGCAGCCGCGGUAAUACGUAGGUGGCAAGCGUUGUCCGGAAUUAUUGGGCGUAAAGGGCGUGUAGGCGGUUAUUUAAGUCAGGCGUGAAAAUCCAAGGCUUAACCUUGGACCUGCGUUUGAAACUGGAUGACUUGAGGGCGGGAGAGGAAAGCGGAACUCCGUGUGUAGCGGUGAAAUGCGUAGAUAUACGGAAGAACACCAGUGGCGAAGGCGGCUUUCUGGACCGAUCCUGACGCUGAGGCGCGAAAGCUAGGGGAGCGAACGGGAUUAGAUACCCCGGUAGUCCUAGCCGUAAACGAUGGGUACUAGGUGUGGGAGGUAUCGACCCCUUCCGUGCCGCAGUUAACACAAUAAGUACCCCGCCUGGGGAGUACGGCCGCAAGGUUGAAACUCAAAGGAAUUGACGGGGGCCCGCACAAGG